UUUAGUAUUUCGGCAUCUACUGCUCAUGCAUGCAGCUGAGAAAUGUGUAGUUGAAAAAGAUGUAUCCACAUCACGACCAUCCCAACCCCGAAAGAUAAUGGUUCUGUGCGUCGUGAGCCUCGUGCCUGUGCAGCGCCGCUGGAAUGCAAAGAAUGUGGAGUGGACGGCGAGUGGCGAACUCUGACUGAAACGUUCGCGCGGGUUUCUCGCUGGAACGGUUUAUUUGCAUAGCAAAUGUGGCGCUAAUUACCGGGGCGAAGUCAGGUGAAAGAUCUGGACUGCAGGCUGGCCAUUUCAGUACCCGGA